rnacentral:rRNA from 1 species
CCUACGGGGGGCAGCAGUAAGGAAUAUUGGUCAAUGGACGAAAGUCUGAACCAGCCAUCCCGCGUGCAGGAUGAAAGCCCUAUGGGUUGUAAACUGCUUUUAGCAGAGAAGAAAAGCUUCCAUUUAUGGGGGUCUGACGGUAUCUGCAGAACAAGCACCGGCUAACUCCGUGCCAGCAGCCGCGGUAAUACGGAGGGUGCGAGCGUUAUCCGGUAUAACUGGGUUUAAAGGGUGCGAUUGAGGAAUAUUAGAAAUCUUGUCACUUAACGAUAAAAUUGCCAAUGAUACUGGUACUCUUGAAUUGGGUUGAGGUUAGCGGAAUGUGACAUGUAGCGGUGAAAUGCAUAGAUAUGUCAUGGAACACCAAUUGCGAAGGCAGCUAACUGGGCCUUGAUUGACGCUGAGGCACGAAAGCGUGGGUAGCGAACAGGAUUAGAUACCCCUGUAGUC